rnacentral:misc_RNA from 1 species
UGGAAUUUAUGAGAAAUCAUCCUAAAGGCCUCUUUGGGAGUUAUAAUACGCCCAAAUUCAUCGGUCCUCUCAAUUCGAAUGUCCUUAAAUUUGUCAUUGUCAACAUUAUUAUCUACUAUACCAACAAGUUUACUCUUUUUCUUGUCCAUGUUUCUACCACCCCAUUCAAUACUUUCUUUAAGUGUUCCUCGCUCUUUGAGCAAAUUCAAUGCACCAGACAGUCCUUUACCAACUGGAACUUCAUGAAUGGUUGCAUCUGGAACUAUAUCCUCCUGAUUCUCAUUGACAGGGUUUUCAUCAUUAUCAGUAUCUUUAACUUCUGUCCAUCCACCAGCUUCAUCUUUUCUUUCUUGUUCAGAAGUUCUUGGAGGUGCUUCAUCCUCAUCCAUGAAAACAUCAUCGCUGUCAGGCUUAUGGGCCUCUUGAUCCAGUUGGAGACCCCACACAAACUCUUCCAUCUCUGUAAAGACAAUCUUGUUUUCUUGUGACUCAGCAGUUGUAAGGUUAUCAUCUGCAACGUGACUGCUUGUGGUGGUGUUGACAGCUAGGCGAGCAAUUGCUUGAGGACCAGAUGCUUCCUCUUGCUUUUUGAGAGCUAAUUUCCUAGCUCUUUCUAAGGAUUUAUAAAGAUCCUCAUCAUCAUCUGCAAACACUGGAUUUUCAUCUUCAUCAACUUUAGCAGUAAGAGUUUGCUCCAGUCGCAGCGAUUUAGAAGCCUCAUCUGCUUUAGCAUACGCAGACUGAUAUGCAUUACUUCUCAUUUCUGCUUCAGAUCUCUCUUGUUCCUCCCUAAUUGCCUGCCUUCUCCCAUCAUUUCGAGAACCAAGAUCUCCAACACCCAAUCCUGCAGAGACAGCUUCUGCUUCAAGGGCAUUUAUAUCCAAUUUCUCCUUUUUCCGCAAGGACUUUUUUUUCUUGGGCUUCUUAAAUUGAAGCAUCUCUUCUUGCGUAUAGUAAUCUGAUGAGAUUUUUCCAGAGGCAUUUAGAUCUUCAAAGCGAUUAUUUGUGGAAGAACCUUGUAACCUUCUACGGAGCUCUUCCAAUUUUUUCUCAGCUUCACCAGUGAACCGUCCCCUUUCAUCAAGAGUUACUCCCUCAUCCGUAGUUGAAUCAUCAUAUUGUGGAAGGAUUUUCUUCUCUGAAGCAGGAUCGUCAUUGAACUUAUCAUCAUAUAUCCCUGUCUUUUUCUUUGCAGCCUUAUAAGCCUCAUCCCGGCGCUUCUGCUCUCCAAUUUCCACAUUUUCAAGCAUGUCAACCUCUUCAUUAAUGCUGCCAUCCGCAAGUAUGCUCUGGUCUUUGAGUGUCAAGACAACUGCUCCACCUUCCAUUACCUUUUCAAUGCCAUGAAGAACUUUAACUCCAGCUAGAUCAUGAGUAGCAUGCUCAGUUCCCUCCUCAUCUUCACUUUCUCCUUGAACAAUAUUGUCCUGCUCCUCAAAAAUCUUUGAAAGCUGCUUGGCUUUCUCCUUUUCGGCACUCUUUUUCUCCUCAAGCUUACGACUCCUAUUAACCCAUGCUAAAACCUCAUUGCCAACUUCUGAAUUUUUCUUUAAUCUUUCUUCUUUCAUCUUCAAAAUGCGCCCCUCAAGUUCUAAGGCAGAUGCAUAUCCUCCACCAGAUAUACCUUCAACCUUUUGCUCGUGAUCAUCAUCAAAAGAAGCAUUUGCUUGCUUUAAAACAUCUCUGUCCUUGUCAUUUUCAUAGCUCAUUUCAACUACAUCAUCCUUGCUUCUGUCAUAGUCUUCGCCAUGGCUUCUUCUGCUCAACUUAUCUUUCUCUCUCAACCUUUCCUUAUCAUGAUCCGCUUCUCUUUCCC